AAUAAUGUAUGGAAGCUAAUAGCUAUGGAAAAUCCAAUAAUUUAUGGACAUAUAUUGUAUUAAUUCUAAAAUAUCAAUUGCAAUUAUUAAAAAAAUUAUAUUUUUCUUAACGAGGAAUCCCCAAACCUACAAGGAAAAGGAAGUUUUCAGGGUUUUAGCCAGGGUUUGGUUUUACUUUUACCUCUCAGAUUCUCUCUUCACUUCAUUGAACGCCCAGUUCCUCAAACCAAACCGAGUGGCAUCACUUCAUUUUAAGGCGUAUCCAAGCUUUACACUGCACGAGGGGUUGCUUCAAUUUCCUGUAAGAACUCGAAACUCGAAGCAACUUUUUCACUUCCCCCCCCCCCCCACUUUCUCAUUGUUUAUCUUUGAAUUGGGUUUUAUCUCAUAUUUGAUGCUCACCUUUGUAAUAUUAAUGUUCAUUAUAAACCCAAAAAUGACCUGAAAAAGAGGGUUGUUCUUGAUUUCACCAUCACCAAAUGCAUCGUCGCCUUGCAAUAUUCACCUACAAAGUCCUCGUUAACACUAACCCUAUUCCAAUCACAACAGCCACCAGCACUACCCUUUUGUACUCUCAAUGCAAUCCCUUAAACCCUAGGACGAAUGGGUUUGCUUUCUUUCGCUUACUAUCUUUCACUCCGGGGCACAGGCGUGCGCAGGACCCUGAUGACCCAUCCAACCUGAUGAAGGAAGAUGGUGUCUCAGUUUGCUCUCAAAUGUGGAUAGAGAAUUUUCGAGAACCAGAUAGAAUUGUAAGCAAUUUGACCACUUAUCUUCGCCGUUUUGAACUGUGGGUAUUGGCUUAUCAGAAAGUGUGUGCUGAUGACAUGGGAGCCUAUAUGCCCCGUAGUGCGAUACAAAGGUCUGCAUUGGAGGACUUGUUAGCUCUUAGAAAUGCAGUUCUUGAUAAUAGGUUUAAGUGGGGUGCUAGGUUGGAUUUUCUUAUAAAGUCUCCGAAGGAUAAGACUGACUAUCAAUCUUUGUCAAAGAGGAAGAUUAAGGCAAUUUUGACAACCACACAACCGGCAGCAUUUCAAGAUAAGAUAGUUCAGGAGGUGUUAUUUAUGAUUUUGGAGCCGAUAUAUGAAGCACGGUUUUCACAAAAGUCUUUUGCUUUUAGACCUGGUAGAAAUGCACAUACGGUGUUGAGGGUGAUUAGGAGGAAUUUUGCUGGGUAUCUGUGGUAUAUAAAAGGGGAUUUCAGCACCAUAUUGGAUGGAAUGAAGGCGGGGUUAGUGAUAAGUGCUUUAAUGAGGGAUGUGAGGGAUAAGAAAGUGAUUGAUUUGAUAAAGGCAGCAUUGACUACCCCUGUGAUCACGAGUCGCAUGGAAGAGCCAAAGAAGAAGACGAAGAGGAAGUAUCAAAAAAAGAGGGUUUUGGCAGAGGAUGAGCCAAAGCCAGAUCCAUAUUGGUUAGACACCUUUUUUGGGUUUGCACCAGAGGAGGCAGAGAAGAUUCCUUCAUGGGGACACUCUGGGAUACUCAGUCCUCUUUUGGCUAACAUCUGCUUAGAUGAAUUGGACCAGUGGAUGGAGGGUAAGCUUAAGGAGUUUUAUCGUCCUUCAAAGAGUGAUGUCAUAUGGAAUAGUCCAGAAGGGGAAGCAGAACAGGGGAAUACAUCCUGGCCAGAAUUUGUGCCGACAAGUGGCCCAGACAAAACUAGGAAGAUGGAUUAUGUAAGAUACGGGGGUCACAUCCUGAUUGGUGUGCGAGGACCGAGAGCAGAUGCAGCCACAUUGAGGAAGCAAUUGAUUGAGUUUGUUGAUCAGAAAUACAUGCUCAAGGUUGACAAUGAGAGCCUCCCAAUUGAGCACAUAACUAAAGGUAUAAUGUUUCUUGAUCAUGUAUUGUGCCGAAGAGUUGUGUAUCCAACUCUACGGUACACUGCCACUGGUGGGAAGAUCAUUAGUGAAAAAGGUGUGGGCACCCUUUUGUCAGUCACAGCAAGCUUGAAACAAUGCAUUAAGCAAUUUAGGAAGUUGAACUUUCUGAAGGGGGACAAGGAUCCAGACCCACAGCCUUGUUUUAGAAUGUUCCAUGCCACUCAAUCUCAUACAAAUGCACAAAUGAACAAAUUUUUGUCAACAAUGGUUGAGUGGUUUAGAUAUGCUGACAAUCGGAAGAAAAUUGUGAACUUCUGUUCAUACAUUAUAAGGGGUUCACUUGCAAAGCUAUAUGCUGCAAAAUACAAGCUGCGUUCACGUGCAAAGGUGUAUAAGAUUGGUUCCCGGAAUCUGAGUCGUCCUUUGAAGGAGAAGAAAGGGUCUUCACCUGACUACCACAAUUUGCUACGAAUGGGCCUCGCCGAGUCAAUUGAUGGGCUUCAGUACACCAGGAUGUCUCUUGUACCUGAGACUGAUUACACCCCAUUUCCAAGUAAUUGGAUACCUGAUCAUGAGAAGGCAUUGCUUGAAUAUAUAAGCCUUGAUGAUCCAAAAACUCUCGAGGAUCAACGAUGUAGCAUUAGAAAGCAAGGUCUGGUUUCAUCUCAGGACUACAUUUCAAUGCUUGUUUGGAACUACAAGCGAAACGCUAUUGCAAUGGAUCAGCUUUCCCUCAUAAAAAGUGGUGGAAAUAACACAGAAAAAGAACAACAGUUGCUUUUGGGCUCUGAUAAAGAUACUUAUGAUCAGAAAAGCAAAGAAGAGGAAGAACAUGAAGAUGGGUUUGACGUGGCAGAAAUCUAAGGGGGCUCUGGUGUUGCAUUUGGAAAUUUCCUGGAGAUAGGACCACAUUUACUUGGGAUAGUUCUUUGAUGUUGAGUUGAGUUGUCACCUGAGUACUGCAAUUUGCUAAGAAUUGUCCUCAUCGAGUCAAUUGACAGGCUUCAGUGUACCAGGAUGUCUCUUGCCAGACUGAUUGUGUCAUUUCCAUGUAAUUGGAUACCUAAUCAGGAGAAGGCUUUGCUUGAAUAUUUGAGCUCGAUGAUCCAAAAAUUCAGGAGGAUCAAAGAUUUUGCUGAUGUUGCUAGGAGAACAAGGGCUGGUCUCUCCUCAAUUAAUACUAAAUUUUGAUGCUGGUUUGAAACUACAAGCGAAAUGCUAUUCUGAUGGAUCAGCUUCUGCUCAUUAAGUGGUGGAAAUAUCGAAGAAACAGAGCAACAGUUUCUGCUGGGUUCUGGUCAUGAUGAUCAUGAUUAGAAAAUCAAAGAAGCAGAGAGGAACACAAAGAAGGGUGUCACGUGGCAGAAAUGUGAGGUUGCGAGAAAAUUUACUCUGCACUUCUUUUUGUGGGAUCUGUCCUUGUAUAACAAUGCAGUUCAUGGAUGUACACAGUCAUUACAGUCAUACACUGUCAUUUCCCUCCAUAUAAAUUUUUGUUACAACUAGUGCUGUCCAAGGAUUUUUUUUUCUAAUUGGCUAUGUAUGCUAGUGGCUUCAAUCCUCGUUUGCAGUCA